rnacentral:lncRNA from 1 species
CUUGCAUUCUCAUUCAGUCAGUCACAAAGAGAUUGAUUAUCUCACUGACAGCCUAGGAGAACUGAGGCUACCAGACUCUGCAAAUCUGCUAACUUCAAGUCAUCCUUUCUCUCCUUAUGAACCAGCUCAAGCCCAGCACAAGUUAGUUAAUCAGGAAGAUGCUACAUAUCCUCAUCUUGGUAUUAGGCAUGUAGACAGACAAAGUGGUUAUUACAACAUAGACCACAGAGGCCAUAACUAUCUGUCCACUGACCAAAGAGAGCGCAGCCAAUCUCCCUCAGCUGUUCAGUUUAUGCCUCAUGACUACAGCCAAGAGACAGCAGCUACUUAUGGAACUUAUAAAGAUCAUAGUCUGAACAGCAGACCUGUCAGCUAUUUCCCUUCCACCGAACCACAUGGUUAUCAGCAACCUCAUCAUGGUUAUUCAGUUACAAGUCCAGUCUACCAAGAUGAGAGACUUAUGUCAAGGGAUACAUUAGCUCACCAUGCACGCUAUGAGAGACACUCAGACUACUAUGGUCGAUCAGCUGCUACUCCUGCAGACAAAUCAAUAUUCUUGACCCCACAACAGUACGCAGAUUAUGCUCAGUCUGAAACAUAUCAUCCAUACCACCCAGUGCGUCCUCCUUCUCCAACUUAUCCUCAUGUAGAGCCCACCUACAGAGGUCCCAUUCCCACCAUUCCUAAUUUUAGCAGUGAGGAUCCCAGAGAGUUUGCACGACUCAAAAUUGCACUGGAGAAUUUGCUACCUGUUGAGGCUACAGAACGUUUUAAGUACCAAAUACUCGUUGAUCAUCUGAAACAGGAGAAUGCUUUGCUCAUUGCAGACUCAUAUGUCAACAGCAGGUACCCAUACACCAACACUAUGAGGUCUCUAACUGCACUUUAUGGUCAACCACAUCAACUCGCACUACAAAGAAUUGCAGAAUUGAUGGAUGGCCCAAAAAUCAGGAGUGGCGACAUUAAAUCCUUUAGAAUGUUUGCCCUCAAAGUGUGUGCAUUAGUUGGAAUGCUGGACCAACUUGGAGCUAAAGGAUGGACAGAACUCAAAUGUGGGUCUCAUGUUUCACGUCUUCUUGCCAAACUGCCUCAUGAUCUUAAAGCAAAUUUCAGAAGGUUUGUUAAUCCCAUUCAAAUCCCAGUUCCAACACUGCUAGAAUUUAGUGACUGGCUUGAAUACGAGCUCAGAAUACAAGAGGAUGAGACACAGUAUGCUAGUAAUGUAAGCAGAGUCUACUCUCAACCAGUGUUAAUUUUUACACGAAAUUUUAAUUUAGUUUUAGUCUUAGUCUUUUGACUAUAAUUCUUUUUAGUUUUAGUCAAGUUUUAGUCAUCUGAUUUGUUUUAAUUUUAGUCUUAUUUUAGUCGACUAAAAUUGCUUGGUAUUUUAGUCGACUAAAAUAAGACUAAAAUCAAUAACAGAUUUACUAGACAAUAU